rnacentral:rRNA from 1 species
CGAAGGGUGCAAGCGUUACUCGGAAUUACUGGGCGUAAAGCGUGCGUAGGCGGUUUCUUAAGCCUGUCGUGAAAGCCCUGGGCUCAACCUGGGAAUGGCGAUGGAUACUGGGAGGCUAGAGUGUGAUAGAGGAUGGUGGAAUUCCCGGUGUAGCGGUGAAAUGCGUAGAGAUCGGGAGGAACACCAGUGGCGAAGGCGGCCAUCUGGAUCAACACUGACGCUGAGGCACGAAAGCGUGGGGAGCAAACAGGAUUAGAUACCCUGGUAGUCCACGCCCUAAACGAUGCGAACUGGACGUUGGGAGCAACUUGGCUCUCAGUGUCGAAGCUAACGCGUUAAGUUCGCCGCCUGGGGAGUACGGUCGCAAGACUG